GUUUAGGUCCACGUCUAGCAGCAGUAGGAGGGGUUUCGGCCCGGAGUUGACAUGUGAGAAUGACUCAAGUUUUUUUUCUUACCCAUUCCGAGCAUUGUUUGCUCUCCUCUGCCCUGGCAACGCGAAUUGGAGCCAAAGAAAAUAAAUCCACUGCCGGGGAGAGUCGUUUUGAUGCUGCUCUUCACGUGGGAGUGUAAUUAUCCUGUAACACACGCACGCACGCACAUCUGAAGACGGGCCGUCCUGCAGUGUGUUAAUGUUAACGAGCGGCUGGGGUGUGGACUCUAGCAGGGCAGGAAGGGAGUGCAGCAGGACAGGAAGUGAAGGUUAGCAGGGUAGCUUGAGGGGCAGAGCUCAUCCUCUCUGACGCACCCAUUCUUCCCCGCUGGGCUCCGGGUCUCCCGGUGUGGAGGCGGGGCUCCGCUGUCUGACUCUCUGAUGUCAUGGCAACCCGGCCGUGGUCACCGGCUGAGAAGAUACCAGAAGGAGCUAGACAAGGCCAUAUAAGGAUUGUGGGCGAUAACCUGGGUGUACAUUGUCAACACUGGACAGGAAGUGGCAGCUGGCAGAGGAAGUGGGCAUGAGUGAAACAGGAAACAGGAAAGGGUCAUUAUAUCCAAAUGGCUCAAAUGCUUUGGCCUCUUUCUUUUUUAAUGAUCUAUUAGUUAACCCUCAAUGUGGAGUUGUGCCAACUUUUACUUGACUAAAUCUAGCAGAUGUGUGAUACUAUUUAUUUAUGUGCGAUAAUAUAUGAAUUGGGAUUAAUUGUCAUAAUAAUAUUAUUAUACCAACUAUAUUAUUAAGCAAAUCUGUCUGUCCAUUUUCCUGCGAGCACACAAUCUCGGUGUCAGCUGUUCGGUGAACAUGGAUUCCCG
ensembl:lncRNA